CCUGAGAAACCCAAAAGAUCGAAUGGGGAGAUUCAUCGUCAGCGAUGCUGGUACGUGUGCGGUUCGCGAUGCCGGGGACUUCGGUCUCGUGGCACGCGUCCGCAUGUUUUUUAUUGCCUGGUGUCGUCGGCGUGCACUUCUCCCCUAGUAGGACGUCGCGACCCGUUGGGUGUCGGUCUACGGCCCGGGUGGGCGCCUGUCCCGUGUGCGCUUCACGGCGUCACUGCGGGGCAGACCCCCGGCUGCCCGACCGGCUGCCCGGCGGUACUCGCAAGGUAUCUGGCCGCAAAUAUUCGAACUGCGUCCGGCCCGUCGCAAGCGAGGCAAGUGCUUCCCGAAUGUACGGAUCUAAUGCCGUCAUCGGGCCUUGCCAGCUGUUGGUUGACGGUGUCCUAGGACUGGCUAUAACAAUUAUGAUACCGGUCAGCGACGCUACUGCUUUGGGUACUUUCAGGA
rnacentral:rRNA from 1 species